AUUGAACGCUGGCGACAGGCCUAACACAUACAAGUCGAACGGUAGCACAGAGGAGCUUGCUCCUUGGGUGACGAGUGGCGGACGGGUGAGUAAUGUCUGGGAAACUGCCCGAUGGAGGGGGAUAACUACUGGAAACGGUAGCUAAUACCGCAUAACGUUGCAAGACCAAAGAGGGGGACCUUCGGGCCUCUUGCCAUCGGAUGUGCCCAGAUGGGAUUAGCUAGUAGGUGGGGUAACGGCUCACCUAGGCGACGAUCCCUAGCUGGUCUGAGAGGAUGACCAGCCACACUGGAACUGAGACACGGUCCAGACUCCUACGGGAGGCAGCAGUGGGGAAUAUUGCACAAUGGGCGCAAGCCUGAUGCAGCCAUGCCGCGUGUAUGAAGAAGGCCUUCGGGUUGUAAAGUACUUUCAGCGGGGAGGAAGGGGUUAAGGUUAAUAACCUUAGCCAUUGACGUUACCCGCAGAAGAAGCACCGGCUAACUCCGUGCCAGCCGCCGCGGUAA
rnacentral:rRNA from 1 species